AAAAGUUCAAGACUCAAGUUUGAAUUGCAACUAAUUGGCACGAAAAAAUGGCGGCCAGAAUGCCAAAACCCAAGCCCAAAGCCAAAGCCAAAACCAAAACCCAAAGCAGAAUUUGGCCAUGCACGCUCUCCAUCGUGUACGCCUGUUUGGGGGACCAACUGCAUUGCCACUACGAUUACGUAUAUAGUAUAUAUUUAUGUAUAUUCUGAUAUAUGCGAAAAUGAAUAGCUAUAGUUUGGUUAAUUGCUUGCAGAAAUGUUAACACUUGUUUGGCUUUCGAUCAAAUUGCAACUACAAUGAACAAUAACAAUAAAAUGCUACACGCUACAUAAAUUUCAAUUUCGAAUACGAGUAUGUAAUAUAUUGGAUUCCAAUGCUGAAUCUACCCGAAAGUUUUGAUUAAACUAGUUUUUAAUUUGUAGUAUAUAUUGGUCCAAGGGUUUUUGAUUAUUCAUUUGAUUUGUAUGUAAUUUUUGUUUGCUUUGAUAUUUGAUUAAGUUUUAAGUUUUAUUUUCUGAAAGUUUCCAUUCUUCAUGAUCUUGAAGUACAUAUUUUUAUUCAAUUACUACUCCAGUUUCCUUCACUAUCCAAAAAAUUCUCCCUUCUAAGUUUCCUUUAUUUCUUUAAAUUUGUCUUCAAUUCCUAUAUUUCUUCUACAUUCUCAUCCAUAAAAUUCAUACGUUUCUAAUCGUUUUCUCUUCGUUAAUGAUCUAAAAAUGUAUAAUCUUCUUGUUGUAAAGUCAAUCUUUUCAAAUUUCAAAUAAAUGUUCCCUUUUCAUGUCAUAAAAUGUUCCCUAAACAGAAUCAGACUUUAGAGUUUGAUAUUUUCUGAAAACCAAAGAAUUCAAUUUAGAAACCAAAGCAUAAAAAUCUAGUAACCAAAGGACCAAAAAAUGAUAAAACCAAAGAGUAAUUAUUUUUCAAUUGCAUUUUAUAUUUUAUUAAUACACAAAACUUAAAUAAAAUAAUAGAAUUUAAACUCUACAUACCUACAAUACAAUACGUAAUAGUCAUAAGCAUAAUAAUAGAUAAUAAUAAUAAUAGUACACAAUAGUGAUAUUGUCGUUUACAGUUAUUGUACAAUGUAAGAAAUUCUAUUCCGUUUUCCGUUUUCUUUUGUUCUUCUAAACAUUUUCCUGUUUCUUUUGUUGUUUUCCAUACUGUUCUAUUGUUAAGAUUUCUUUAAGAUAUUCUCUCUGUAAAAAUGAAAUGUUGCUGCUUUCGAAUACCGGGAAUACUAUAUCGUGUGUAUAUAUAUAGUCUAGGUAAAUAUUUAGAGAGAGAGUGAAAAAAGGUAUAAUAUAAUACAAAAAAAAAAAAACAAUUGUGUGUGUGUGUCUGAGUAUAUAAGCGCUUUUCCGUGUGAUAGAUCUGAACUUUGCUUUCACUUCACUGAAAUUCGCUUUGCUUGGCUUUGUUUUCACAUCACUUAAAAGUCUAACGAUUUUUUGGUCCAAUAAUAGUUGCGGUGAUACAGGGGGUGUGGUUAUGGGAGGGGGAAGGUACUGGGUUUUCUGGGUGAUCAAAAAAAUAAAUAUGCUUUUCUUGGAAGAAACAA
rnacentral:sRNA from 1 species